rnacentral:rRNA from 1 species
AGAACGAACGCUGGCGGCAUGCCUAACACAUGCAAGUCGAACGCUUUUGGGGCUUCGGUCCCAAAGGAGUGGCGCACGGGUGAGUAGCGCGUGGGAACCUGCCCUGUUGUGGGGGAUAACCGAGGGAAACUUCGGCUAAUACCGCAUACGCCCGGGGGAAACUCCGGGGAAAGAUUUAUCGCAGCAGGAGGGGCCCGCGUCGGAUUAGGUAGUUGGUGGGGUAACGGCCCACCAAGCCUGUGAUCCGUAGCUGGUCUGAGAGGAUGAUCAGCCACACUGGGACUGAGACACGGCCCAGACUCCUACGGGAGGCAGCAGUGGGGAAUAUUGGACAAUGGGCGCAAGCCUGAUCCAGCAAUGCCGCGUGAGUGAUGAAGGCCUUCGGGUUGUAAAGCUCUUUCGCACGCGACGAUGAUGACGGUAGCGUGAGAAGAAGCCCCGGCUAACUUCGUGCCAGCAGCCAC